rnacentral:tRNA from 1 species
GCCGUCCUAGCUCAAUGGUAGAGCAAACGCAUCGUAAGCGUUAGGUUAUCGGUUCAAGUCCGAUGGACGGCU